AUGAACGCUGGCGGCGUGCCUAAUACCUGCAAGUCGAGCGAACAGACGAGGAGCUUGCUCCUUUGACGUUAGCGGCGGACGGGUGAGUAACACGUGGAUAACCUACCUAUAAGACUGGGAUAACUUCGGGAAACCGGAGCUAAUACCGGAUAACAUGUUGAACCGCAUGGUUCAACAGUGAAAGACGGUUUUGCUGUCACUUAUAGAUGGAUCCGCGCCGCAUUAGCUAGUUGGUAAGGUAACGGCUUACCAAGGCAACGAUGCGUAGCCGACCUGAGAGGGUGAUCGGCCACACUGGAACUGAGACACGGUCCAGACUCCUACGGGAGGCAGCAGUAGGGAAUCUUCCGCAAUGGGCGAAAGCCUGACGGAGCAACGCCGCGUGAGUGAAGAAGGUCUUCGGAUCGUAAAACUCUGUUAUUAGGGAAGAACAAAUGUGUAAGUAACUAUGCACGUCUUGACGGUACCUAAUCAGAAAGCCACGGCUAACUACGUG
rnacentral:rRNA from 1 species